rnacentral:rRNA from 1 species
GGAUUAGAUACCCUGGUAGUCCACGCCGUAAACGAUGUCUACUAGCCGUUGGGGCCCUUGAGGCUUUAGUGGCGCAGCUAACUCACUAAGUAGACCGCCUGGGAAGUACGGUCGCAAGAUUAAAACUCAAGUGAAUUGACGGGGGCCCGCACAAGCGGUGGAGCAUGUGGUUUAAUUCGAAGCAACGCGAAGAACCUUACCAGGUCUUGACAUCCUAGAAACUUGGCAGAGAUGCCUUGGUGCCUUCGGGAAUCUAGAGACAGGUGCUGCAUGGCUGUCGUCAGCUCGUGUCG